rnacentral:tRNA from 1 species
GUUGUCGUGGCCGAGUGGUUAAGGCGAUGGACUAGAAAUCUUUUGGGAUCUUCCCGUGCAGGUUCGAAAUCUGCCGACAUCG